GCGGAUGUAGCUCAAUGGUAGAGUCUCUGCCUUCCAAGCAGAUUGUGCCGGUUCGAUCCCGGUCAUCCGCUCCA
rnacentral:tRNA from 1 species